GCAGGGGGAAUUGUUGCAGAGAUUUUGUGAGAGGAUAUCUCAGUCACCGAGUAUACCAGAGCAGACUGUUCUACCACCGACUACUCCAGUGACCAUACCAGCUGCAGCAGUUCCUCCGUCGGCAGCAGUUCCAGUAGCGCCAGUUGCGCCGGCUAGGGGGCCAGUACCGUUGACUGAGGCCGAGUAGGAGCGGUGGACGGAGAGAUUAGCUCGUUUUCGUCGAUUUGACCCACCGAUCUUCGAUGGCAGAGGCACUGAGGCCUGGAUUGUUGAGGGAUGGGUCAGUGCGAUGGAGAAGUUAUUCGAGGAUCUGUUCGUUCCAGAGUGGGAGCAGGUACCUUUGGGAGUACACUGUCUGUCGGGUGAUGCACAUGAUUGGUGGCGGAGAGCGAGGCGAGACCAGGGACUGGUGGCGACGCAGCUGAGUUGGGAUGAGUUCUGUGGAAUGCUGUAUGGGAUGUAUUU
rnacentral:lncRNA from 1 species